AUUCUUGGGUAUUGGAGUCCAUGAUCACUAAGGUGGUUCUCCCAGGGCGAGGCUCAUCCAUUGCACUCCGGGUGUGCUGACCCCUGCGAUUUCCCCAAAUGCGGGAAACUUGACUGCAUAAUUUGUGGUAGUGGGGGACUGCAUUCUCGCUCUCCCCUG
rnacentral:snRNA from 1 species